GUGGGGAAUAUUGGACAAUGGGCGAAAGCCUGAUCCAGCCAUGCCGCGUGUGUGAAGAAGGUCUUCGGAUUGUAAAGCACUUUAAGUUGGGAGGAAGGGCAUUAACCUAAUACGUUAGUGUUUUGACGUUACCGACAGAAUAAGCACCGGCUAACUUCGUGCCAGCAGCCGCGGUAAUACGAAGGGUGCAAGCGUUAAUCGGAAUUACUGGGCGUAAAGCGCGCGUAGGUGGUUCGUUAAGUUGGAUGUGAAAGCCCCGGGCUCAACCUGGGAACUGCAUCCAAAACUGGCGAGCUAGAGUACGGUAGAGGGUGGUGGAAUUUCCUGUGUAGCGGUGAAAUGCGUAGAUAUAGGAAGGAACACCAGAGGCGAAGGCGACCACCUGGACUGAUACUGACACUGAGGUGCGAAAGCGUGGGGAGCAAACAGGAUUAGAAACCCUGGUAGUCC
rnacentral:rRNA from 1 species